rnacentral:rRNA from 1 species
CCCUUAGAUGUCCGGGGCUGCACGCGCGCUACACUGACUGGCUCAGCGUGUGCCUACCCUACGCCGGCAGGCGCGGGUAACCCGUUGAACCCCAUUCGUGAUGGGGAUCGGGGAUUGCAAUUAUUCCCCAUGAACGAGGAAUUCCUAGUAAACGCAGAUCAUCAAUCUGCAUUGAUUACGUCCCUGCCCUUUGUACACACCGCCCGUCGCACCUACCGAUUGGAUGGUCCGGUGAAGCCUCGGGAUUGUGGUUCUUGCCGCUUUAUUGUGGCGUGACCGCGAGAACUUGUCUAAACCUUAUCAUCUAGAGGAAGGUGAAGUCGUAACA